UGCCAGCAGCCGCGGUAAUACGGAGGGUGCGUGCGUUAAUCGGAAUUACUGGGCGUAAAGCGCGCGUAGGUGGUCUGUUAAGUCGGAUGUGAAAGCCCCGGGCUCAACCUAGGAACUGCAUUCGAUACUGGCAGACUAGAGUGCGAGAGAGGGAGGUAGAAUUCCAUGUGUAGCGGUGAAAUGCGUAGAUAUGUGGAGGAAUACCAGUGGCGAAGGCGGCCUCACUGGCUCGAUACUGACGCUGAGGUACGAAAGUGUGGGGAGCAAACAGGAUUAGAUA
rnacentral:rRNA from 1 species